rnacentral:lncRNA from 1 species
UUGUGAAACUCUGUCCUCUGCAGCUUCACAGCACAUUUGCUUUAAUACCAAAAGAGGAUUCAUCUUGGCCAAUGAGAAACAAAUGAAUAUGCAGUGAUUCGCCACUUGCUAUAAAGCCCUGCCAACAGUUCCCACUGCUGCGCUCUCUUCUGUUUUUAUAAUCAAUUAAAAAGGUUCAGUUCAUUUGGGGCAGUUUCCCCUCUCCUGGAAAUGGAAAGAAGCAAGCAGCUCUCAGAAAAGGCACAAAGCCCUUCUGAGAACUGUCUAGCAGACAGAGCUUCUUACAGUAACACUUUAUUUUAAUGGUUCUUUAAUGCAGAAUUGACAAUGGAACUCCCACUGAAGCCCUCACAGCAGUCUCAUUCACCCUAAAUAAAAAUGACGACGUUGCCAGAGAUAGGUCACAACUAACAUAUCAACUUCACAGGCUACCCCAGAGGAGGGAGGGGGGAAACAGGACCCCCUCCCGUGCUUCCGGAAUAAAUUCUGUCUUCAUGCCUGCACCCUCUAAUCCAGCUCUCCGUUUCCGUAUUUAGAUGAACAUCCUUUGUACAUUUAGGGAAUUAUUCCUCAGCAGAGAAUCCAUAGGUAUCAGCUUUCUGAGAAUUGGACUGUUCUUCCCAGAAACCAGAGGGAGCCUGGUUGGUUUGAAUGCUGGCUUGUGGGUGAGCCGAGGGUCUAGGAAGACAGCUCACAACGAAGCAGCAGGACCCUGUUCACAUGAGCACACAACAUCCACUCAUCACCAGCAGCAGAUUGAAGGUCAGCUUGCUUUGCACUCUAGCCAUAUGGAAGAACAUAGCCACAUGCAGAAAGCUAAAUGUCCCUGAAUGACACUUUCAAAUUGCUACCAUGAUCUCAUGGUAUCUAAUGGAGGGCCCAUUUUAGAGAAGAGAGCAAUGAGUAUAAGAUGAGUUAUUAAGGGCCAACAGCUUAAGUUGCCAUCUACAACAUUAGAGUCCCAUAUAGGUACUGGAUUGAGUCCCAGCUGCUCCACUUCCAAUCCAGCUCCCUGCUAGUGCACCUAGGAAAACUUCUGAGGAUGGCCCAAGUGCUUGGGACCCUACACCCACGUGGGAAACCCAGAAGAAGCUCCUGGCUCCUGGCUUCAGUCUAGCCCAGCCCUGCUUAUUGUGGAUAUUUGAGGUGAAUCAAUAGAAGGAAGACUUUCUCUGUCUCUCUCUCCUUCUCUAUCCACAAUUCUGCCUUUCAGAUAAAUAAGACAAAUCUUGAAAAAAAGGGAUGCACUGUUGUCCCAAAACAUGUACAGUACUAUAUUAUUUGUAACUGCCUACUUGUGUGUCCUUUUACUUCCAGCUGUAAUCUUUAUAAAAGUAGUCAAUCUACCAUUGUAUCCUUAUGAAAUUAUGCCACACAAAUAAAAAUGUUCAAUUUGUGAUAGAAAAGAAUGGC